UGGAUCAGUGGUGACUAUCCGUGGCGUAUGUGUCAUGCAUGAUGAAUGCAUGUCUGGAACUCUGAGAUCCAA
ensembl:snoRNA